UUAAAAAUUACUUAUUAAUUAUUAUUGAUUGUUUUGCGAUUAUUCUUCGAUUAGUUUCGAUUAUCGUCAUUAAUUGUAAUAUAUGUAUUACGUAUGAGAUUGUCAAAUGACGAUGAUGGAAAUUGAAUCUAUGUGAAAUAAAAAGAGAGAGAGAGAGAGUGUGUGUGUGGAUGAGUGAGUGAAUGAUAGAUGAUUGGGGAACCAUUAGAAUGUAAGAGAAAACAUACAAAAGAAACAAAAGUCACAACAGCAUAUAACAGAUUGCUGACGAAAAAUUGAGAUUUGGUAGUAGCAGUGGAGAGAACAACACACAAAGAAUCAAUGUUGUACACACAAUAGCAUUGCAUCGGAACAACGUCACAACGACGACAACAUGGCGGCGCAAACGGAUAAACGAAAACUGUAUCAACAGCAACAAGAAAUCACAUUGGGGUAACAAUUGUCAUAUUUUGCAUAGUAGCUAACGCAUUCGCUGUUCAAUAUCGGCCACUGUCAACGACAAAGCGAUUUGAAUGUGUUGGUGUGACAGUGUAUUUGAUUGCGACAUUUCAAACCAACAAGUCGGCAACAAGUCACAUCGUCUUGAACCAUCAUCAGUGUAAGAACUAAAAUUGCUGCGCAUAAAUUUUCAGUUUGCAUUGAAAGUGAAAUAUUCUCUCGAAUUGGAUUUUUGUCGGUUUUUCCAAAAAAAAGUGUUCGGAACAACAAAUCGAACACAUCAAAUGUCGAAGAAGAAUAUGGACACAUUUUUAGUUCUUACACUGGUAAUCGUUCACAAACCGACCACAACGAUGUCAGAACCCGGAAAAUAUGAAUACAAAGGAUCGUUUCUAUUUUGCCCAAACUACGAACCGGUCCGCAGUCGUAUUCUUUCCGGCAACCAAAGUUAACUUUAGCAUAAAGUUAAAGAAAUGUAUCUGCGGUCGUUCCCGGGGGGU